rnacentral:rRNA from 1 species
GACGAACGCUGGCGGCGUGCUUAACACAUGCAAGUCGAACGGAAAGGCCCUGCUUUUGUGGGGUGCUCGAGUGGCGAACGGGCGAGUAACACGUGAGUAACCUGCCCUUGACUUUGGGAUAACUUCAGGAAACUGAGGCUAAUACCGGAUAGGAGCUCCUGCUGCAUGGUGGGGGUUGGAAAGUUUCGGCGGUUGGGGAUGGACUCGCGGCUUAUCAGCUUGUUGGUGGGGUAGUGGCUUACCAAGGCUUUGACGGGUAGCCGGCCUGAGAGGGUGACCGGCCACAUUGGGACUGAGAUACGGCCCAGACUCCUACGGGAGGCAGCAGUGGGGAAUAUUGCACAAUGGGCGGAAGCCUGAUGCAGCAACGCCGCGUGCGGGAUGACGGCCUUCGGGUUGUAAACCGCUUUCGCCUGUGACGAAGCGUGAGUGACGGUAAUGGGUAAAGAAGCACCGGCUAACUACGUG